rnacentral:lncRNA from 1 species
AUAAAGCUGGAGGCCCUGGGGGAUCGCAUUCCUCCCCACAAGUUGACGAUUCAAGAAACGUUGGACUUUCAAAAGCCCUGGUGGCAUGUAAGAGGGAAAGUGAUGGAGGAAACAACGGAGCAAGAAAAGACCCGAGGCCUCAAAAUAAUUUCAAGCAAGGAAGAUGUUAAUUGAAGAAGAAAGAAGUGACAGAGGGAGGAACCGAGCAGGAGAAAAUCUAAGGUCUCGAGGUAAUUUCAAGUCAGGAACAUGUUAAUUGGAGAAGAAUCCGCACACUGGCAAAUGUCUUUUGGAUAAGAAGAUCUGCUUGCACAAUUGGCUGCCAAGGUUAACAUGCUAAAAAAGCAAUUUUAGGCAAAUCAUCGGCAUGACAGAAAGGUGUAAUUAUCAGAAGGAAG